rnacentral:lncRNA from 1 species
UAAUAAUCAACAAUAAUAAUAAUAAUAAUAAUAAUAAUAAUAAUAUAAUAAUAAUAAUAAUAAUAAUAAUAAUAAUAAUAAAAUACACAAAAUAAAUAAAUAAAUAAAUAAAAUAGAAAUAAAAAGACGGUGAGAUUAAUAUGGCAGAGAGAUAAAAAUUAAAAUUUUAAAAUAAAUAAAAAAACACCUCCCACCAUGCGACACGUGGCAGACAUGAAGAGGUUUUUUUUUUAAAAAUAAAUUCUUUUCCUCUUCUCCUUCCCUUAUAUCGUUCAAUAAUAGCAACAACAUAUUCUUUCUUCACUUUUUCUAUCUAUUUUUUUUAUAAAAAAAUCAAUAACUUUUUUCCAAUUUCAAAAACAACAACAAUAAUAAAAAGAAUAAAAUAAGUAUAUCAAACUCUCUCCGCUCACCGUCUCAACACUCGCCGGUAGUGGUGGUUGCGUCGAAUUUGGCCAAUGACGCGGUGAAGUGAUGCUCAGUCAGUUGAGUUUCGUUUCCGGUGGCCGUCGAAGUUGCGAAUAGGUGUUUGGAGUUUUUUUGUUGAUGAAGAUUGUUGGUUGUUUGUUGGAGUUUAAAGAGUGAAAUACUUUAAGAUCUUUGGAUGGUAAGUAGGGAGAAAGAAGACGAUGAUUGAAUAUGGUUUAGUUGUGUUGGAAGAUGAUGAUAAUGAAAGAUGGAGGUGAUGAUGAUGAAAGUUGUUGUCGCUCAUGUUUCUAACAUUUUUUUUUUAUUUUUGGUGUAUGAAGUGAGUGUGAAUGGUUUAUGUAGUGUAUGAUAUAUGGUUGGAAGAAAAAAACAUAUGGUGUGUUAUGGGAGCAUGAAGAAGAAAAUGAAAUAGUUUAUUGUGGUUGAAAAAUAGAGAGAUUUUUGUGGAGUUGGAAACAAGGGUUGUUUGCUUCAAUAUUCAGAAAAAGAGUUAGUGACCAGAGGAGAACUUG